rnacentral:SRP_RNA from 1 species
GCCGGAUGUGGUGGUGUGAGUCUGUAGUCCCAGUUACUCGGGAGGCUGAGGCUGGAGGAUCUCUUGAGCCCAGGAGUUCUGGGCUGUAGUGCACUAUGCCGAUCGGGUGUCUGCACUAAUAUCGGCAUCAAUAUGGUGACCUCCCGGGAGUGGGGACUACCAGGUUGCCUAAGGAGGGGUGAACCGGCCCAGGUCGGAAACAGAGCACGUCAAAACUCCCGUGCUGAUCAGUAGUGGGAUCGCACCUGUGAAUAGCCACUGCACUCCAGCCUGGGCAACAUAGUGAGAUCCCGUCUCU